AACGAACGCUGGCGGCAGGCUUAACACAUGCAAGUCGAGCGCAGCGGCAGACGGGUGAGUAACGCGUGGGAACGUACCUUUUGGUUCGGAACAACUCCGGGAAACUGGAGCUAAUACCGGAUACCGAAAGAUCGGCCCGCGUCUGAUUAGCUAGUUGGUGAGGUAACGGCUCACCAAGGCGACGAUCAGUAGCUGGUCUGAAGGAUGAUCAGCCACACUGGGACUGAGACACGGCCCAGACUCCUACGGGAGGGAGCAGGGGGGAAGAUUGGAAAAGGGGCGCAGGCUUGACCCAGCCAUGCCGGGUGAGUGAUGAAGGCCUUAGGGUUGUAAAGCUCUUUUGUCCGGGAAGCUGUACCGGAAGAAUAAGCCCCGGCUAACUUCGUGCCAGCAGCCGCGGUAAUAC
rnacentral:rRNA from 1 species